AUGCAUAGGCUUCUGCGAGGAGCAGGUUACUGAGGAGCAGUGUUUGCAGCCAGGCCAACAGCAUCCUCACCGCCUUCAUCUUGCAGAUACCAUGUUCUUUGGGGGCUUGUUAAGAAGUGGAGCUGACUAGGGGACGAGCAAUGGAUUUGGCCUCACUGGUUUUGGCAUAAGGCAAGACAUGCGUGUAGAAACGCCCAAGAAACAGUUCGAUAUGGGACUAAAGGUGGACCAACUGGAUAGAAAAUCAAAAUAAGGAAGGUAAAAUUCAGAAAGAUUGCACAAGAGAGCCAGUUUUCAGCUGCCACACAGAGGAAGACACAGCCAGUUAGUCCCGAAGAGUAGCAGCCAAUCAACAGAAACAGCCGCUUCUCCAGGGCUGUCAGUGACCUGAAGGGACUUGUCACUUGGAUCAUCAGCUGGUAUUUGGACUUCAAGGGCAAGUUUGCCCAUAUUUUCCCUUCUCUGAGCCACCUUGCUUCCCCCACACCCAGCCCUCUAUGUCCAAGUCCUAAGCAUGCUUCAGGGUCCUUCUCUGAUGCCACCAUCUUCUCAGACCUGGCCGGCAUCUCCUCCUUCUCCAAAUCAUCAGAGCUUUUAUUUCCCUUCACCUCUCAUGUCAUUUUCUCUCUUGUGGUGCAGAUAUUUGUGUAGGUGUAUGUCCCACGUCCUGUACUAUUCUGUUUAAGCUCUUGUAGGAAUUAAGUCUCUCUCGGCGCACAGUAUGCAUCCAGAAUACCUGUUGAAUGAAUUAGUGGCUUCUCAGUGUCAAACACUAUUCUAGGUAUUGGGAAUACAGAGAUGAAUUACCUUUGCAUGAACCCCAUUUGCAAGGAAACCUGGUCUCCUAUGGGGAGACCCAUAAAGAUUGUGAAAAAGUAGGAAUGUGUGUGGAACAGGGAGCUGGCCUAGAGGAAGACAGUGAUGGAGCCCUGGGCCCCAUGGUCAGACAGGUCAGGAUUCAUGUCUUGGUUCUGCCACUUCACAGCUAUGUGGCAUGGGCCUCUGUGAGCCUCAGUAAAGGUAAAGCAGUAUCUACCCCACAGGGUUGCUGAUGUACAGAGGGCCCCUGGCACGGGUGUGACACCGUGUAGUGAUGUAAUAAAUGAAAGUUGUCUCCCUUCUGGGGGGCAAGGAAAGCUGUGCAAUUGAGGGGCCAUCUGAGCGGAGCUUUGAAGAAGAAUUCUUCAGAUAAACAAAAAACAAGUACUUUGUAGGCAGAGGAAACUACAUGAAUAAGCAAAUCGUUUGUCAUCAUCCAAAGAAAAGCUUUAAAAAAAGUUAACCUAGCCCCCCCCUCACACACACACACUCAUGGAAUUUGUGGCCUUUAACAUGGACCCCGAAGCUUCCAGCAGGCCCAGGGCUCAGAUUUUGACUCAGAAAAGAAAUGCCCUUGAAGGAGGAAAGGGGAUGUCAAUAAUCAUGCAGUUUCCUUCUCAGUGCCGCCAGGGGCUUAGAUGUCAGCCUGGUGAGGACUGGCCGCAGCCAGAGCAGCAGUUAGGGAGGCAGUGGGCUCUCCCUGAAGCAGAAGUAAGCCAUUUCCUGAGGUGCCCAUCCACAGGAUAUAAAGCAGCUGUAUUCAGAGGCGCCUCCCUCCACACUGCCUUGUCCUCAACAGAAACUUGUUUUGUUAGGAUGGAUUAGUCUCUUAGUGAGAACCGGUCCACAGCGUGUAAGAGGCACCCUCCGCUCUUGGAGGGGUCCAGAGAAGGGUGGCAGGUGGCCGUGGGAGAUGUGCUACGUAAGGCCUAGAGGCCCUGCUGCCAGGCUCUCAAUUAUGUGAACUGGGGAGUCACCAGCCCGCCUCCUCCAAGAGCUUGGAGGGAUCAGCAAGACUUGGGAACACUGUCACUCAACGUAAGAGGACAUGACUAUUUACUCCUGCAAGAGACCUGUGAAAUUCUGAAUUCUCUGCCAAAACCGUCGCCCUCUCCUUAACCCUGGUGCCUCCAAGUACAGCCUUUCACAAAAGCCAGAAAGCAGAGGUAGAUAAGCAGCCAGAGAGAACCGAGUGGACAAUCACAGGAUUCGACGACUGACCUCAUUCACCAUUUCCUCCAGGGCUGUCUUCUGCCAGCUCCCUGCCGACCUUCUGCCCUCUGCCCUGCCCACUGUCCUGCCCCUACCCUCAAAAGGAGGGUGAACUGGGUAGGCAAUUCUUAUUCUGAACACAUUCGGCCCAUCUUUGUGCGGACUCUGGAGUUCCUGAGAGCAAUCUUGGUUGGGGGACGUGGCAUUGCAUUCCACGUGGAUCAAUGGAUUGAUUGGCAGACCAAGAAAUCACAAGCUCCGGGUGUCGGAUUAAUUUAACUCACAUGAACUGUGAGCCCGUGGUUGGCUGGGAUUUGAGUCUGGGUGGCAUCCAAGAUCUGAAACCAGGGAGGGCCUGGAGAGGCAGGAAGAGAAGCGGGUCUUGUGCAGUGGCCGGCAAACUGUGUCCCGGGGGUCAGACCCAGCCUGCCACCUGUUUUUGCACAGCCUAUGAGCUAAGAAGGGUUUUUACAUUUUUUUAAUGGUUGGAAACAUCAAAAGAAGAGAAUUUUCUAACAUGUAAAAAUUAAAUGAAAUUCAAUUGCAGUGUCCAUCAAUGAAGUUGUCUGGGAUCACAGCCAUGCCCAUCCAUUUAUGAAUGUAUUGUCUUUGCCUGGCUGCUCAGCAGCGGAGCUGAGUAGCUGUGACAGAAACCAUCUGGCUCCCAAAGCUGAAUGUGUCUACCUUCUGGCUCUUUACAGAAGAAGCUGGCUUAUCGCUGCUGUCAUUCAUUUUUAUGAGCGCGUAGUCUGGUGGAGGAGGUGAACGAAAAGGGAGCUUUCUGAGUGUUACCUAAUGUGCUUUACAGCUAUGAGUCCAUGUAAUCCUCACAGCAGCCACGUGACUGAGAACUGUUAUCCUUGUUUUCCACAUGAGCAAACGGAGAAGCACCCAGUCAGAAGGGGGUGGUGCUGGGAUCUGCCCCCGGCACUGGUACCACCAUGAGCCAGGGCACAGUGACAAUGACCAAGGAAGGGGCAGAAGCAGUGUCGAGGCAGGCAAAGACGUCGUGAACAGAUAAGAUUCAGAAGCACAGAGCUGUUAAGAAAGAGCCUCCAGCCAUUGCCAGUUUGGCCUCAGUGGAUAGAGCGUCGACCUGGGGACUGAGGGGUCCCGGGUU